CCUACGGGAGGCAGCAGUGAGGAAUAUUGGUCAAUGGACGAGAGUCUGAACCAGCCAAGUAGCGUGAAGGAUGACUGCCCUCUGGGUUGUAAACUUCUUUUAUAUGGGAAUAAAAUGUUCCACGUGUGGGAUUUUGUAUGUACCAUAUGAAUAAGGAUCGGCUAACUCCGUGCCAGCAGCCGCGGUAAUACGGAGGAUCCGAGCGUUAUCCGGAUUUAUUGGGUUUAAAGGGAGCGUAGGUGGAUUGUUAAGUCAGUUGUGAAAGUUUGCGGCUCAACCGUAAAAUUGCAGUUGAAACUGGCAGUCUUGAGUACAGUAGAGGUGGGCGGAAUUCGUGGUGUAGCGGUGAAAUGCUUAGAUAUCACGAAGAACUCCGAUUGCGAAGGCAGUUCACUGGACUGCAACUGACACUGAGGCUCGAAAGUGUGGGUAUCAAACAGGAUUAGAUACCCCUGUAGUC
rnacentral:rRNA from 1 species